GGACGGGUGAGUAAUGCCUAGGAAAUUGCCUUGAUGUGGGGGAUAACCAUUGGAAACGAUGGCUAAUACCGCAUAAUGCCUACGGGCCAAAGAGGGGGACCUUCGGGCCUCUCGCGUCAAGAUAUGCCUAGGUGGGAUUAGCUAGUUGGUGAGGUAAUGGCUCACCAAGGCGACGAUCCCUAGCUGGUCUGAGAGGAUGAUCAGCCACACUGGAACUGAGACACGGUCCAGACUCCUACGGGAGGCAGCAGUGGGGAAUAUUGCACAAUGGGCGAAAGCCUGAUGCAGCCAUGCCGCGUGUAUGAAGAAGGCCUUCGGGUUGUAAAGUACUUUCAGUUGUGAGGAAGGGGGUAGUGUUAAUAGCGCUAUCUCUUGACGUUAGCAACAGAAGAAGCACCGGCUAACUCCGUGCCAGCAGCCGCGGUAAUACGGAGGGUGCGAGCGUUAAUCGGAAUUACUGGGCGUAAAGCGCAUGCAGGUGGUUCAUUAAGUCAGAUGUG
rnacentral:rRNA from 1 species